rnacentral:pre_miRNA from 1 species
GGGAGCACAGGAUCCUGUGCUGUGUCCCCCGGCGCCCUGGGAUCUAGGGUCUGUGCUGCUGGAAUCGCGUUCCUGGGGCUGCGGCUCCU